AAGGCUUUAGCUUAAUUAAAGUAUCUGCUUUGCAUGCAGAAGAUGUGGGUUAGUAUCCUGCAAGUCUUA
rnacentral:tRNA from 1 species